rnacentral:lncRNA from 1 species
GAAAGAAUUGGCAGACAAAAUACAUGCUGGUGACUCAGUGUGAGGUGUUCUCUCCUCCUUGGGGGGACGAAGCGGGAGCAGAGAACACUGAAGCCAGAGGCACUGACUUAAAAUGGAGCAUCUGAUCCUUAAAGAUCCCCUGGUAUUUGUUGUCAGAGAUGUCAGCUGGAUUUCAGUUCAGAUAAUUACAUUUUGCUUGUCUAAUGCCCCUAGCAAUUUCCAGUGGGAUCUUCAUUUCCCAUCAGAAAUUGCUCUGCAUGUGAUGCUGUGCUUCAUUAAACAACUGCCGUGUGCUAGCUCACAGGUGGUGUUUGUUUCAGUGGUCACUGAAGUAAUCUCUCCGCAGGCCCAUGCCAGCCAUACUGCCCAGACUUGAAUUCUCUCCAGAGAAGUUUCUCAUCCAAGAUCCCCAGUAAAGAAAGGACUACUGAAGGAAAAAGGAAAGAAAAUAGAGCUUCUUUCAUCUUUAUUCUGGGGUUUUCUGCAAUUUUUUUAAAGAGAAAGGUAAGCUACAUAAAAAGGAGUUUGCUUGGUGAGCAAUGGUGGAGUGAGGCUCAUGAUUUGAGUAUUUCAAGAUGUCAACUAAGGGCACCUCAACCAAAUGCACCUCAUGCCCACUGACUCAACAGGUCGAGACCUUAAGGAAAUGCGGCAUUCCAUUGCAUAAUGCUUCAAUAUGAGUUAACAAGACAAAUGAGCAGAGAAACUAUGACUCUCCAUGCUGCAGAAGGAAAAUGCUCCUAGCGAACAUCUGCUUUGGGACCAAGGACAGAACCCAGAGGGCUAACAAAGAAGCACCAUGGAGUUGGUACACAGACCUCUGAGAACGGAUCCUAAAUGGCUAUCGCUGCUACCUGGCAUCUCACCAGAGAACUGGUUCUGGAAGCUCUCAAGGAAGGUUGAAGCUUUUAACUGCUACUGACCAAUACAGGAAAAACAGAAAUGUGUAAGUCCCUUCUCUCUUUUCCUUGCCUUCUAUCGGCAAAACUUAACGGGAAAUCAUUUGACUAAUGGGAAAAUGUAGUUUACAGAGUCAUCAUAAAGAAGAGUACUGAAGGGUGCUUUGGAACCAAGAGCUAAUAGGUCAGUAGCUGGCACAGACUCGCCAUCUCACCCAGAAUAAAAGCUAAAAUCCUGUAGUGAUCUAUAGUUACUACAUAACCCAGUCCCUUGUCACUCUCAAUUUCAUCUCACUCCUCCUGCUCCUGCCAUAGAGACGCCUUGAUCCUUCUUGAACACACUAGGCAUGUUCUCAUCUCACACCCUUCGCACUCAGUGUUCAUUCUGCCUGAAACGCUCUUCCCUGAGAUCUUCAUGGCUCACUCCCUCAUUUCCUUCCAUUCAAUCAUUACUCUCUCAGCGAGGCCCUCCUUAGAUUUUCCUCCUACAGUUUCACCUCACAGUGGCAUCUUA